UUUACUGCAGCUUGAAAGGUAUUGAUGAACUCUGAAGCAAUAUACACGAGGGAAGUAAUGAUCAAAUCCUUGACUCAUUUGUAAUUUUGCCUCUACAACUAGAUCCCAGCAGCAACAGAUGAAUCGGUGGCAUCCUGUUCCCCCACCCCAAAAAACCUCAGUGAAUAUCCCUCCGACUACCAUCAUUUUGUUGAUUAUGGACUCAGUUGGCCUUGGAUUUUGUAUAAAAUUCUUCCCUACUUUCCUGAAAUUUAUAAUUAAAUCAUACUCUUCAUCAGUCUUGGUUUGCACUGGCAAUGUGUACCAAAUCAUGGAUCAUAGUGCACCCCAAAAUAUUUGCCAGUGUAUGAGGCAGGCAAUUAUACAUUUUUUUAAAAUUGAAGCUGCCAAGUUCUUAACAACUUCAUAAAAAGGCCACAGAAAAAGAUUUGAAUGUUCGUUUCAAGCUACAUUCUUUAUCAGAAUCCAGGCCAAUCAGGCAGUUGCAUUUGUUGUGCAAAUGUACAAGAUUUUCUUUUGUUUGUUUUCCGAAGGUCCACCCAAGGAAACCCUCUUGAACUUGCUGACCAAGAAAUAAAAGAGUCACUUCCUCAAGAAGCUGAACCGCUUUGAGAAGAAACAUUCUGGGUCUGUGCAUAAGGAUAGCCACGAGGUGAUGGUGCAGCUCAUCAGAGGACAAAGACCAGAGAAACACCAUAGGGAUGACAGCAGCAGCAACAGAUUUUAGAAGUCCAAUGUUAUCGAAAUCUUAACAAAUAUGCCUUGGUUUGGGUGAAAUUUGAAACUGGGGAAGUUAUUUCAUCAAAAUUGUUGAGAAGUGUCAGGAAACCUGAAAUUCAUCUCAACAUACAUUUCUGAGCUCUUUUACAAAAAGUCAAUUUUUGACGAAAUUUUAAUUAAAAUUCAAGUUUAAGGAGGUCUCACAUAACAAAACUAAGGAUACAAUUCUGUGAUUUUGUAAUUACCUAUAAGAUUUUGCCAUAUACUAUAUUCGCUUCAAUUUUUGCCUAUUAUCCCUCUGUUUGCAAAAUGUGUGCAUUUGACUCCUGCUUAAUAUUAUACACUCAUUGGAGGUCACACAUAACAACUCCAAAUUAUUUUCAUUUUGCACAUGUAGUCCGUGAAUUGCAAGAGACUUUUAAAAGGUCACAUUAUUGAAAUUAUGUUUCCGACUUUGCUGUCCAAAAUUUCUGUAGUUGUAGAUCCCAGCCCUAAUUACUGAUUUGAAUUGUUUUUAUACAUGAAUUGUUUGUGAUAUGUAUCUGUCUUUAGCCUACAUGGGCUACAUAUCAGUGCCUGAGCAAUUUUUACAGGGUUGCUGACCUCCAGACAAUAAAUUGGCAGAAACAAA